UUUUAACUUAAUUUGUUGUUCAUGAAGGUUCGUGAAGUUACUAAGGUCAGAUUGUAAGACCUAAGUUGUUGUCUUUUCUAGAUUUUGAAGCGGUGAGAUCAUUAACAGAGAUAGAACUAGUAAAAAAGGCUACCUGCCCCUCUGUGGACAUCCAGAAUAAUAAGCAGUACCUGCUGAUGGGAUCCCGCGGGUCACAGUACACGGUUGGCCAAAGCUACAGGUAUCGUUUCCCCAUCGACUCCGAGGCUUUAGUGGAGCUCUGGCCAACAAGAUGUGAGCCCGCUUGUCCGGAAUAUCUCAAACAGCUGGGGCUUUAUACAGUGGACCUGCAAAUAUUAGGCUGUCCUUAAUAAUAACGACAAUUCACUGCUGCUUUUGAGCCACCAUCACAAAGAAGAACCAGAUCUCUGUUAGACUGAAGGAGUGAGGAGAAGGGGCAACUCCCCUGAAAUGAAAUCAGAAAGAUGUCUUUAAAAAUCGAACCAAAACAACGUUUACAUCCUAUCAAAAAAAAAAAAAAGUAAGACGAGAAAAGCAAGGCAUUUCCACCGGCAUUGUCAUUAACGUGUAAUCAUGUAGUGUCACUAGAGUGAAGUCAUUAUUUGACUUAACAUCCUUGUUAUGAACUUUCCUGUUAUUAAAACGUUCUUGUCCAAAAAA